CGGAGGGGCUAGCGUUGUUCGGAAUUACUGGGGCGUAAAGCACACGUAGGCGGAUCAGUCAGUUAGGGGUGAAAGCCCAGGGCUCAACCCUGGAACUGCCUUUAAUACUGCUGGUCUGGAGGUCGAGAGAGGUGAGUGGAAUUCCGAGUGUAGAGGUGAAAUUCGUAGAUAUUCGGAGGAACACCAGUGGCGAAGGCGGCUCACUGGCUCGAUACUGACGCUGAGGUGCGAAAAGCGUGGGGGAGCAAAACAGGAUU
rnacentral:rRNA from 1 species